UAUUGGACAAUGGGCGCAAGCCUGAUCCAGCCAUGCCGCGUGAGUGAUGAAGGCCUUAGGGUUGUAAAGCUCUUUCAGUGGGGAAGAUAAUGACGGUACCCACAGAAGAAGCCCCGGCUAACUUCGUGCCAGCAGCCGCGGUAAUACGAAGGGGGCUAGCGUUGUUCGGAUUUACUGGGCGUAAAGCGCACGUAGGCGGAUUGUUAAGUCGGGGGUGAAAUCCUGGAGCUCAACUCCAGAACUGCCUUCGAUACUGGCAAUCUCGAGUCCGGAAGAGGUGAGUGGAACUCCUAGUGUAGAGGUGGAAUUCGUAGAUAUUAGGAAGAACACCAGUGGCGAAGGCGGCUCACUGGUCCGGUACUGACGCUGAGUGCGAA
rnacentral:rRNA from 1 species